GACGAACGCUGGCGGCGUGCUUAACACAUGCAAGUCGAGCGGUAAGGCCCUUUCGGGGGUACACGAGCGGCGAACGGGUGAGUAACACGUGGGUGACCUGCCCUCAGCUCUGGGAUAAGCCUGGGGAAACCGGGUCUAAUACCGGAUAUGACUCCAUGACGCAUGUUGUGGGGUGGAAGGCCUUGUGCGGCUGAGGAUGGGCCCGCGGCCUAUCAGCUUGUUGGUGGGGUGAUGGCCUACCAAGGCGACGACGGGUAGCCGGCCUGAGAGGGCGACCGGCCACACUGGGACUGAGACACGGCCCAGACUCCUACGGGAGGCAGCAGUGGGGAAUCUUGCGCAAUGGGGGAAAGCCUGACGCAGCGACGCCGCGUGAGGGAUGA
rnacentral:rRNA from 1 species